rnacentral:misc_RNA from 1 species
CAAGAGUUGCAAAAACUCCCACAAACCAUCGCGAAUCGUUACCCAGACGUUGCCUCGCUCUGGCUUCCGGAGGCCCGGGCCCCCUCGGCCCCGCUCGCGGGAGGCUGCCCGAGUGCCGAUACCAGACUCUUGAUAGUUUAUUCGGCCUCUCUGAGUAUGACUUUUUAAAUAAGUCA